rnacentral:rRNA from 1 species
UAACGCGUGGGGAACCUGCCCCGUACCGGGGGAUAACACCUGGAAACAGGUGCUAAUACCGCAUAACAGAAGGGGACGCAUGUUCCUUUCUUGAAAACUCCGGUGGUACGGGAUGGACCCGCGUCUGAUUAGCUGGUUGGCGGGGUAACGGCCCACCAAGGCGACGAUCAGUAGCCGGCCUGAGAGGGCGGACGGCCACAUUGGGACUGAGACACGGCCCAAACUCCUACGGGAGGCAGCAGUGGGGAAUAUUGCACAAUGGGGGAAACCCUGAUGCAGCGACGCCGCGUGAGUGGAGAAGCGUUUCGGCGCGUAAAGCUCUGUCAGCGGGGAAGAAACACGGUUCGCGAGAGCCGCGGACGGUACCCGACCAAGAAGCCCCGGCUAACUACGUGCCAGCAGCCGCGGUAAUACGUAGGGGGCAAGCGUUAUCCGGAUUCACUGGGUGUAAAGGGAGCGUAGACGGCGAGACAAGUCUGGAGUGAAAGGCCGGGGCCCAACCCCGGGACUGCUCUGGAAACUGCCUGGCUGGAGUACAGGAGAGGUAAGUGGAAUUCCUAGUGUAGCGGUGAAAUGCGUAGAUAUUAGGAGGAACACCAGUGGCGAAGGCGGCUUACUGGACUGUAACUGACGUUGAGGCUCGAAAGCGUGGGGAGCAAACAGGAUUAGAUACCCUGGUAGUCCACGC